rnacentral:rRNA from 1 species
GACGAACGCUGGCGGCGUGCUUAACACAUGCAAGUCGAGCGGAGCGGGGGACGGGUGGGUAAUUCCUAGGAAUCUGACUGGUAGUUGGGGAUAACGUACGGAAAGGGGCGCUAAUUCAGCAUGCUAUCAGAUGAGCCUGGGCGGGAUUAGCUAGUUGGUGGGGUAAAGGCCUACCAAGGCGACGAUCCGUAACUGGUCUGAGAGGAUGAUCAGUCACACUGGAACUGAGACACGGUCCAGACUCCUACGGGAGGCAGCAGUGGGGAAUAUUGGACAAUGGGCGAAAGCCUGAUGCAGCCAUGCCGCGUGUGUGAAGAAGGUCUUCGGGUUGUAAAGCACUUUAAGUUGGGAGGCGUUACCAGCAGAAUAAGCACCGGCUAACUUCGUGCCAGCAGCCGCGGUAAUUC